ensembl:processed_transcript Gm29856 predicted gene, 29856
AGCUUUCCAUCUGGACUUUGGAUACGGCUGGCCGUUCAUGGAGAGCCUGGGUUAGCUGGAAAGGACUGCUCUGCUCUAGUCAGCUCCUCCAUGAAGGCCCCAGGCCGAGUAAGACACCAGCGAAGGAGCUGCCCAGCAUUUCAGCUACAAAGCAGAGAAGUAGCCCUCCCAGGUCCAGGUCCCCAGCCUUCCAACUUGAGUCUAGCCCAAAGCCUGCACUCUAAUACAUAUCAUACUUGAUAUUAAAGUGAGAAGGGGGUAAUUUAUAGGAGCUGCCUGAGAACGGCUCUCUUCCGGGGCCAGCCUAUGUGGAAUCGCCACCUCUGGUCAGGUAACAAGGAAUGCGAAAACCAUUCACAGUGAGUUGACAGGGAUAGAGGAAGCUUUUCCAGCAGCAGCGCUGAAAACCACACGUCCUGGGCAUGGCUACCGUUCAAAAGAAGAUGGAGCACAGAGCAGGUGUCUUUUCCAAAGAGGAGAAAAUGCCCCUGAAACCCCACUUCUUGACUUUGAGCAGAGGUGCCAUCUCUAAUGAUUAGCAAGACACUCUAGGUUGUUUGUGACGAAGAACUCCACCUGCGCUGUGAAAUCCCCAUGAUUUUUCUCACAUUCCCACUCAAGCUGCCGAGCAACUGGGCCCUUUCUCUUCUACGUGCGGCUGUGUCAGUGUGAUUUCUGUGCGCCAUGCCACUGGGCUGUACCUUCGUGCCCCACCGCAAUUAAUGAUGGGCUGUGGGAGGAGGCUGGCAGGUCACGGGAGGGCAAGGUCCCUGCAUCCGCACCCCCACCCCCAGCGGGCUCCCUUUCUUUCCAGUGGGGGUGACAUCCUCAGCUCUGCUUUUCGAGGUAUCCUUUGAAUGUAUCCCCCAGGGCUUCUGGAAUCCUCCCGCAGUUCUGCAGUCUCGUGGCGGGACUGCGGCAGCAUGAGGCUUGCAUGUGCAAAGGCAACAUGAGGACAUGCGGACUUCAUCCCUGAAAGCAGAGCUCCUGAGGUGUGCCCUUCCACAACCCAGCAACACCAGCCCCCAGUGCCCUGGAACUUUCUCUGGACAGACACAGCUUUGCCUCAGGCAGGACUGACCAGGACCUGAAGAGAGCUGGCUUGGGAGCUCUCUGGAAGGGUCUUGCAUCUAAAAACCGGAAACCAGAAGAAUGGAUGGUGAUCAGAAAUCUGUGCUCUUAUUUCCUGCUGACUAAAUCGGAUUGUCUUGAACAAGAGACUUUAUCGGUUCAUCUAUAAAAUAAACAUUUUGAGCC